rnacentral:lncRNA from 1 species
CGCUCUGGCUGGUCAUUGUGGAAUAACUGCUCAAGGACGGACUCCAGCAGAGUGACCUCAUCCAUGGAGAGAUGUCAGCAUCAGGCCCGAGUGUGGCCAAGGAAGACUUAGGCUUCUAAACCUCCUCUGCCUUCAGACUGCCUCCUGCUUCCUCUAAGGGGUAGCAGCAUAUUCUGGAAUACGUGAGGUCGCCAAGGUUUCUUUCANNNNNNNNNNNNNCCUGGUGAAAAAGUGGGGUACACUCAGUCCCGUUGACUUCCUCUCCCCUUCAUAAGUGACAUGACUUGGAUAAUAAAUGCAUAUCUAUUUUCAAGAAUAUGGAAUUUUCUGGGAUUCUUGUGAAGUCCAUUCCAUGAAAGAACCUCCAUGUACUUAAAAAUAAUCUCACUUUCAUCUUCCCCACCUUCUAGUAAAGCCAGGGAAUAAAUUCAUCUCUUAUCUGGGCAAAUAAGUAACCUGACUGAGAGCAAACUGGAGACUCAGAGACGCAGCUUUCGAACUGCCAGCUGUCUGGGCACGUGCUUCCCGGGGUCCCUUCUGAGUCUGACGUUUUAAUUUGACAUUUAACCAGAUGGUCCCUCAGCUUUCAGGGUUUAUGUCAUUUGCAAUGGGAAAUUUAGGUACAUUGAUGAAAAACAUCCAUAUAAACACAUGGGUGUUUAUAGACCAGCUGUGAUCCGCCACACAAGCGACGCCCAGCAGGAUCAGCCUUGGGACACGUCCUCCAAGGAGACCGCUGGGAACCAGGCAGGGAGGAGCAGUGACAAGUGAGACAAGGAGGUGAGAAGGCGGGUCCCUGCGGCAGGGGUGAAGCUGGCGCUGGACCUGGGUCUCAAGUUCGGAGGAGCACCGAGCGUGGGUGACCCCCACCCAGGAGCCCGCCUGUAGACCUCAACCCCACGUUCCGCGCGCCACCUGCUGGGGCUGUGGUGAGACCAGUAAGGAAACAUCCACUGCCCCACAUCUGGCUUCUCUGAUUCCAUAUUCUGGAGCUGUUGCUGAGUCACUUCAGUCUUGUCCGACUCUGUGCGACCCCACAGACGGCAGCCCA